CAGCAACAGUGACACAGGCCAGGAGCAAUGACCCCGAGCCCGAGAGCUAACCCAGGCAUUGCUGAGAGCAGAAAUGAGGUCUGGAGGGGCAAGUGAAAAGAGUCAGCACAGAAGCUUUAGCAGCUGUUUGGAGCAAAACAGACCUGUUUUGUUUUCAGUUGCCUACCAAAGAGGAUGGAGCUGCAUCUCUGGAAGAGCCUAUAUCUUUCCUGUCCAGAAGCUGAGCUGUCAGGAUCUGGCAGACAUCAUCACAGAGAUUUCUUCGUGCCUGACCACACUCCACUAGCCCAGGAUUUGGAAUUUAUGGAUAACAGGCCUUCAAGCAAAACAGGAUCUCAGUGCUUCUCUACCUGCAGCCUCUAUUUCAAGGGACAGAAAAAGCAGAAGAGAACGAAGAUUACACACAGCCUACUGUCAACCCAUGUCUUGUGUCAGGGCAGAAAAUACUUAUCAGUAAAUUAAGAUUUAAAUACAAGUUUCCCCCUUGCUUCAA